UUCUCUUCUAUUUCAUACUGCACAUAUAUAGAUUCUUCAAAGGAAUUGGAUGCUGAUAAUAUCAACUUAGUUCCCUGAAUGUGAUAUAUAUAUUCUUCCCUCGCUUUGAAUUGAUUGCCCCAAACAAUAUAUCUCUGGUUGACAGUCAUGGCCUAUUAUUAUUGUUGUUAAUUUACAACACUCUGCGCUGUAUUGUCCAAUCAUGGUCCAAACUUAAACCUUGGCUGUGGAUUCAUUGUAUGUACCAUAUGCUGUUCAUAGCUACAAAAUUGCAAUCUCUUGAAAAUGUUCUUGAAUACAGUAAUUUUUUUGUCACAUAACCCAUAUGCUGAUGAUAAAGUUUGUUGUAUGAGCUUGUGGCAUACUGAUCCGACAGGUGGCAAGUAUGCAUUCAGAUGUUGCAGCUCUAAGGAAGGGUAGUAUAUGGCACAUGGCUUCGUGGGUUGUUCGACAAGAAGUGUUUUGGGCAUAUUCGAAAGGCAAUCUUGUCAAAAUUGUUUAUAAAUUUCGAAAUAUAGUUGCAGCUUCACGGAAUGGACGGCCCAAAUUAUGUUAGUGUCUAUAUGUUUACUUGGUGGUGGUCUAGCGUGAGUGACACAUGCAUCUGUAACUUACCCAUUGGAUGUUGUUCGAAAUCACCUGACAACACAGGUGAUGCUUUUCUUCCUUUUGUGAUUUGUGAAUAACACUAAGCCAAUCAAUCAAUCAAUAUAACUUCCAGUUAGAACUUAGAGCAUCUUUACCUAACGCUUUCAUGCAAUGCAGCUUUACAGACCAAAGGAACAGGUUUUAGUAAGCUAAACUUUCAUGUCUAUAAAAUUCUGCAGAAAACCACUAGGUAUUACAAGGGCAUCUUUCACAUGUUGUCUACAAUUUGUAGAGAAGAGAGUGGUAGAGGAUUGUAUAAAGGCCUUUGGUCCACCUUAUUGGGAGUUGGACCUGAUAUAUCAAUCAACGUUUAUGUAUAUGAAUCACUGAGGUCUCAUUGGCAAAUGGAAAGUUGAAUGUCAAACUGUGCGACCAAUGAUUUGCUAUGGUUAAUUCCAGUUGGGUGUGUUAACCUACAGUAAUCAAUCAAGUCAACAAAUAUAACAAUGAUACUUUGUCUUCUGAUUUUUGGUGGUGAUUUUUUUUGUGACUGAACUAACAGGAGCUGAAGCAUGUGUUCUUAUUUUUUUAUAUGACUAGAUGCAUAUGAACUGAAGCUCCAUAAUUUUCUUUUCAAGUCGACAUUGGUGGCAACUCCCUACAAUUAGCGUUAUUUACAACCAAUGAAGUCUUAUAAUUUUCUUUCUUAGAAAUAUACAGUGACACUGACUAUCAUUUAGUAGCUCUACAGGCACUAGCCAAAAACAAUAAUGUUUAUUUAUUUAACCACCAAAUAGAACAAUAGGUUAUUCUGCAUUAUGGGUACACAAAUCACAACACUAUAUUUCAGCUGUAGAAAUCUGUGUGGAUGCCUGCUGAUAUUUUAAGCCUACAUAUUGCCGAUUUGGUUUGAGGAAUGCUUGAAGCAUAAUUUACUCCCUAAUGUGCAAUUAGCAGUAUCAUUUUUUGUCAAGAAACUGAGAAGACGGAAGAGAGUUGGUGUUGUCAGUGUGGUGAGCCUAUGCGGCAACCACAAGGCUGAAGUCUGCUUUGAUCGUUGUUCAAGAUUUGAGCCUUGGCUCCGGUUUUGAUAGCUCUAUAUCAACUUUCAGCGAGUUUUUGUUCUCGGACUUGGGAUCCACAGUCCAAAGUUGAUUGGUGGAUCAAGUGAACUUGGUGCAUCUCCAUUCAAGCUGGCGUACAAUUACCAGCCUGCUUGUUUAGCGCAGUCUCCACAAUCAUACAAGCAAAUGAGCAUCUGUGGUGGCUUUGGGCGCGUGUUUGAGGCUGGUCCGGUAUUUAGAUCAGAAAAAUCAAACACUCACAGGCAUCUGUGUGAGUUUAUUGGGUUGGAUGCAGAAAUGGAGAUUAAGGAGCACUACUUUGAGGCAAGGAAGAUUUGGAGGAAAUAAUUCUUUAGUUUGUCUAUUGAAGCGAUGCUGACCAAGUACUGAUUUUUUGUUUUCAGGUUUGUGAUAUCAUAGAUUGCUAAUUGUAGCAAUAUUCAAACACCCAAAUGAAAAUUGUCAGAAGGAACUCGAGAAAAUAAAUAGGCAGUAUCCAUUUGAACCUCUGAAGUACCUAGAGAAAACGUUGAAGCUAACGUACGAGGAAGGGAUUAAAAUGCUCAAGGUUUCAUUCUGGAAUCCUCUAGGCAGGGUGCUUGCAAUCCCCUACAUCUCGGCUGCAACAAAAAAGACCCAACGAGGCUGUUGUUUCAAGCUCAGACCCUCUUCAUUGCACGCGGUGCUAGAAGGAGAACUAGGUUGUGGUGGUGUUGCUGGUCGUUUUCCUUUUUACUUUUGCACUUUGGCCGUCAUAAACGACACAUGCUUGCUCCCCGGAUGGAUCUCUUUCUCUCCCUGGAUCUUUUAAACAGGUGUUGUGAUUAAAAUUGUGAUAAAUCAGUGUUCAUCACUAUUCUUUUUGGACUUGAAUAGAUCUAUGUCUAAAUUACACAUAAUGUGUAGGAGAAAAUUACUAUAGCUGGACUUUCAUGUCUUUCUUGAAUCCAUGGCAAAGCAUAGUCACCUUAGUACUAUGUUGCUUUGCA